GACGAACGCUGGCGGCGUGCUUAACACAUGCAAGUCGAACGGAAAGGCCCUGCUUUUGUGGGGUGCUCGAGUGGCGAACGGGUGAGUAACACGUGAGUAACCUGCCCUUGACUUUGGGAUAACUUCAGGAAACUGGGGCUAAUACCGGAUAGGAGCUCCUGCUGCAUGGUGGGGGUUGGAAAGUUUCGGCGGUUGGGGAUGGACUCGCGGCUUAUCAGCUUGUUGGUGGGGUAGUGGCUUACCAAGGCUUUGACGGGUAGCCGGCCUGAGAGGGUGACCGGCCACAUUGGGAAUGGGAUACGGCCCAGACUCCUACGGGAGGCAGAAGUGGGGAAUAUUGCACAAUGGGCGGAAGCCUGAUGCAGCAACGCCGCGUGCGGGAUGACGGCCUUCGGGUUGUAAACCGCUUUCGCCUGUGACGAAGCGUGAGUGACGGUAAUGGGUAAAGAAGCACCGGCUAACUACGUG
rnacentral:rRNA from 1 species